rnacentral:rRNA from 1 species
AUACGUAGGGGGCGAGCGUUGUCCGGAAUGAUUGGGUGUAAAGGGCGCGUAGGCGGCCCGGUAAGUCUGGAGUGAAAGUCCUGUUUUUAAGAUGGGAAUUGCUUUGGAUACUGUCGGGCUUGAGUGCAGGAGAGGUAAGUGGAAUUCCCAGUGUAGCGGUGAAAUGCGUAGAGAUUGGGAGGAACACCAGUGGCGAAGGCGACUUACUGGACUGUAACUGACGCUGAGGCGCGAAAGUGUGGGGAGCAAACAGGAUUAGAUACCCUGGUAGUCCACACUGUAAACGAUGAAUGCUAGGUGUAGGGGGUAUCGACCCCUUCUGUGCCGCAGUCAACACAAUAAGCAUUCCGCCUGGGGAGUACGGCCGCAAGGUUGAAACUUAAAGGAAUUGACGGGG